CUUUCCUACGCUAAAAACCACUGAGUGGAGUAUUUAGUACACAGGAAGUCGGCCAGAGAAACAUUUCUCAUAUUUGAAGGCCGGAAAGAGGGACAUUUCUGACACCGGAAGUCAGUGAGAGGACUCUUUCCCACACAGGAAGUCAGCUAGAGAGCCGUCUCCCCUCUCUGGAGCCGAGAGAGGCCGGUUUCCCCCACCAUAGCAGGGCUGGGAGAAAGGGAUGGGGAGAGUCCCUCCUGCCACUGACCCAGGAUGGAUAAAAGUACCCCUUUCAUAGAAGGAAGAAAAUGGGAACAAAGGUGCUGCUGAUCAUCUGAGGUUGCCUGCAUGGCAGUGAAGAACAUGGACCUUUGGGUAGCCCACCUGGGAGGAAUUUUCCAGAGAUCACUGUCUGAUGACCCUGUCUUGGAAUUGGAGCCAUGCAAGUUACACUGACCACGUUUGGGUUGGGAUAUUGAGGAGGUUAUGGUUAAAAGCAUACGAUGGGAGAUCAUAUUGUACUUGCGAGUGAGACCCGGCUGGAGGAAUGUUUUAAUUCUUCGGAAAUACCAAGUGGUCUCUCGUGUUUACCUUGGGUGUCUGUCAUUCCAUCCAAGCAAGUCCCAACUCACUCGUCCCGUACCUGAUUCCCAGACCUCUUCAGACGCAGUCAGAGAAAGCAUCUUGUCUUCAUUUUAUAGAGGAGGAAACUGAGGCAAAAGGAAACUACCCGAGUUUAUGCAUAAAGUUCGUAGUAGAACUGGAAUCAAUCGACCCAUCACCCCUUCUAUCAAUCAGUCACAUCACAGUAAUGAAUUUACUGCUACCGAACUGUGCACUUAAAUAUGGUUAAAAUAAUACAUUUUAUGUUUGUUAUAUUCUACCACAAUAAAUAAAUAUUUAGUCUCUAGGCUUCUCAGAUCCUUUCCAUGGAAUUGAAUGAGUGGACACAACAGAGUAGUGUUUUGUUUUGUUUUUUUUGAGAUGGAGUCUCGCUCUGUUGCCCAGGCUGGAGUGCAGUGGUGUGAUCUUGGCUCCCUGUAACCUCUGCCUCCAGGGUUCAAGUGCUUCUCCUGCCUCAGCCUCCCGAGUAGCUGGGAUUACAGGUGUGCACAACCACGCCCAGCUAAUUUUGGUAUUUUUAGUAGAGACGGGGUUUCUCCAUGUUGGCCAGGCUGGUCUCAAACCUCUGACCUCAGGUGAUCCACCUGUCUUGGCCUCCCAAAGUAUUGGGAUUACAGGCGUGAGCCACCACGUCCGGCCCAGAGUUGUGUUUCAAGCUACUGUUCUGAGGAUGACGAAUCUGAGAAUUUUCUAGACAAGCCUCAAUUUCAGUUACUCUGUCUUAGAGUCCCCCUCAAACCACCCUAAUGGCUCACUAAUGUUAACUGAGAAAUACUUUCUAAAAGUUUUUCCAUUUCUAGAAAUAAUAAAAAAAUCCAUUAUAGCCACAGUUCUUGAUUUUUCAUGUGAAAGGCACUGUAAUGACUCAGUUGUGUGCUGAUAAAUGUUUAACAAGCGGCUCUCUGAAGGUAGCUCUGACAUGAAUGCUGGUAGAUAUUUUUGUUUACCUUAAUGAGUCAGGCAAAAACAACAAAGACGUAUGUUGGUACUUCAUUCGUUGUCAAUGACGUGAACAAUUUCUUUGCUGAACUGAAUACAGAUGCUCUUCCACUUAUGUUGAGCUUACAUUCUGAUAAACCUAUUGUAAGUUGAAAAUACUGUAGGUCGAAUAUUGUAAGUGCAUUUUUGAUUUUGCACUAUUGUAAACUCAGACAAAUUCUAAGUCCAACCAUUGCUAAGUUGGGGACCAUUUGUAAUGGUUUUUAAAUAAUAGAAGAAUGUUUCCUCAGCUGUCUGUACCAUUCACAAUAUAAUGGCCACAGACACAUAAUACCUUUAAGUUUAACCUGUCUUAUUAACACUCUGUACAUCACUUUCUUAAAUCCAGACAAUCAACAAAAUGAUCAAACCCUGAUUUGCAGCACUGGCCAUUAUCCCUGGUGUAAAUAUUCCCAUUGUGGCUUAUUUCAAGCUACCAGUGUGACGUCAUUGAAUGUGGAGUUGGGGAGAGAUGCAUAGAUACCAUUAUAUGUGUUUCAACCAUAUAGGUACAAUUCAUGCUAAUAACUAGUGUACUCCAUACAAUUGUAAGCUUAUAUAAUUUAAUUUUAUGAUUGCAUUUCACAAGCUGCUCAUAAAAUUCCUGAAAAUUUAAUGAUUAGCUCUUGUGGGCUGGUAUGAGCUGCACCCAGCACACUGCUAUAAAUCACUGUGGCCAUGUACUUCCUGCUCAGUGGGUAAUAAAUGGCAAAGACCCCAUGCCAUAGUUCAGAUGGCCUUUUGUCUUCUUCCUGGGAAGUUCUUUUUACACUGGAGGCUCCUUCUAAGGGCAUCCUUCCUGUCCGGAUAAAGCAGGACUUUACCUUUCUUCUCUUCCAAAAGCCUCUCUUUUUUCCCUUCAUAGCACAUAGUCACAGUUGGCAGCAACGUCUCCUUUUGGGUGUGGAUUUAUUUGUUCCCCAAUGCAACUGUGAGCACCAUGAGUGCAGGAAAGUGCCUGUUUCUGAUCAUGGUAUUUCCUGGGUGUGACUUCAUGUACAGUCAAGAGGAGAAACUCUGAGUGGGAGCACUAGGGAAUAGUUGAAGCUUAAUCUUCAUUUUGGAGAAGAGGGAGUGUUAUUAUCCACGUUCAUUAUUCACAGUAGCAAAUUUCACAGUAGCAAAAAGGUGACAGACACUCAAUUGUCCAUCGACAGAUAAAUGGAUAAACAAAAUGUGCCAUAUCCAUACAGUAGAAUAUUACUCAGACAUAAAAAGGAAUGAAAUUCCGAUGCGUGCUACAUGUAGACAAACCCUGAAGGCAUGAUGCUAUGUGAAAUUAACCAGUUACAAAAGGACAAACACUGGAUGAUUCCAUUCAUAGGAUGUGCCUAGAGCAGUCAAGGUCAUAGAGGUGGACAGUAGAAUAGUGGUUGCCUGGGGCUGUGAGGAGGAGGAAAUGGGGGGUUCAUGUUUACUGUGUACAGAAGUUCUGUUUGGCAAGAUGAAAAAAUUCUGGAGCUGGAUGGUGGUGACAGUUGACAAUAAUGAACUUAAUGCUACUGAUCUGUGUACUUAAACAUGGUUAAAACAAUACAUUUUAUGUUUGUUAUAUUUUACCACAAUAAACAGCUACUUAAAAGUCUCUAGGCUUCUCAAGUCCUUUCCAUGGAAUUGAAUGAAUGCUUGUUUCUUUAUUUGGACAAAACAAAGAUGACACAAUAAUAGAGUGAGGAUGAUGAUGAUGAUGGUGAUGAUGGUGGUGACAGUAACAGGUACAAUAAAUUGUGCUCCUAGAAUGACCCAGGUUUGAUUCAAAGUGUUUCUUAUGCAUGAGCACUGUAAGUCCACCUGUGAGGAGGAGAUUAUUACAUCUGUCUUAGGAAUGGGGAAACUGAGGCUCAGAGAGGUUAAGUGACUUGCCCAAAGCCACACAGCUUAAACCCAAGGCUAGUUGACUUUGAAGCCCAUACUUCAAACACACCCUCUCUGUAUCUUUAUCUUAUUUAGAAGGUAAAACAGCCACAGGACCUUUUCAAUGACAAUUCCUUGCCAUUUUCCUCCCAGGGUCACCUUCCAGCCGCAAAGCCACAACACUCCCACUUCCUUUGCCUCCCUUGGCUCUCACAGAGCUUGGCUAAAUCCAGUGCUAAGACUGAGUUGUCAAACAGGAGAUAGAAAGAGAGAAAAAGCAAUUUCUUCCAUUUCUUGGCUCAAUCCUAUGCAGUCAAUACUGUUAACAGUAAAUCAAAUAACAAGACUGCAUUGACCCAGGAAAAGGCCAAGAAGAAAAAAAUUCAGAGCAGAAUCCAAAAAAGUAGAAAAUAAAGUUCGGCCAUAGGCAUAAAUCAUACCUGGAGAACUGAGCCCACAGCACCAGCCUCAGGAUGAGCCUGAGCUGCCCCCGAAAGCUGGGUCCCAAAGACCCCUGCUUUUGACUUUCAACUUUCUAGGACCCCUGUUUCUGGUAGAUCCAGGGGAAAGGAGAUCGCUCAGGGACGGGUUGAGGAUAUCUGAUUUGCGGUCCCUCUGAUUUGGGAUGUCACUCCUCAACCCUGGGCUGAACUGGGAAAGGGGAUCUGCAGAAAAUGACUUUGGGAGAAAGUCCCCUUUGACUGCUCCCCUAACCCCUGCAUUCCUUCUGGCAUGCUGAUCUUUUCAAGUUUCACAGUGCUGGAUGCCGGCUCCAAAAAGAAAGAGGUUCACAUGCUCUAAAAAGUAUUCAAUCUUGUCUGAGCCAUGUUGCUGCCUGAACUAUGGCUUCUUUAAAUUAAUGGAGUCAUUCAACAAACAUUUAUGAAGCACCCACUGUAUGCCAGGCAUUGUUCUAAGGCCUUGGGGAUUUAGCUGGGAACAAAAUAGACACACAUUCCUCACUUCACUGAAGCUACAUCCUAGUGAGUGGUGGAAGAUGAUAAAACAAGGUUUGUAUACUAUGUUGGACAGUAAUAGAUGCUAUGAGGAAACAAAGAAGGUAAAAUGGGUUUCGUGUGUUUGUUGGGGAUGGGGAGAGUCCAGUUUAGUUAAGGAAAAGAGACAUUUGAGCAAAGACUUCAAAGGAGGCGAGGAUGUGAGCCGUGGGGGUAUCUGGGA
rnacentral:lncRNA from 1 species